CUUAGUCAAUUGGUAACUGUCCUGUAGCAAAUCAUAUGUCAGAUUUUAAGCUUCAAAUUGGGGUUUAUGAAGCACCGCAUUUGAAGUCAUGAAAUUUGUUGUGGGUAUGCCAUUGACUCUAUUUUUCUUGCGUAUAUAUGGUAGCCAAUUAUCGUGACUCAGUGUAUAGCCUACGAAAGUUGUUGUAUGGUUCUUAUGCGUGUGACUAUACAAUGACUAAAAAAGCAUGCACAUUAGUUAUACGUCAGAUUAUGCAAGAAUAUAUAUAUGAGAAAUUAACAUGUUUCAAGCGUAUACAUGAUACAUAUAUGGUAUGUUCUUUGUUGUCGCAGAUGCAUUCCUCUUGAUACUUUAUGUGUUUGAACAUGGAUUCUUAGUUCCCACUAAUGUAUAGGCUAUACUUAUGUACUGAACUUUGGUUAUCGGGUUGUAGCAUAUUCUGGCAGCUAUAUUUGUGUGGGAAGAGACAACAGCAAAAGGCUGUACAAAAUGCUGACACCUCUAUUUGUGUGGGAAGAGACAAAGGUAAAAGAUAAAAGAGUACCAAAUGAGCCAAAUACAAGGUGAAGUGGAGACAUACCUUAGCUUGGACACUGUCUGCAAGGAAACCACAUAACAAUUGCAUGGAGAGCGGACACCCCUAGGAAUUUCAAACCACGAGCCGAAGUUGAGGG